CUCGGGCUCUGAAGGUUUGCAGGGUGGGGAAGGGAGGCCGGUGAAGCUCUGAAACCAUCCCCGAGGGGACUCUGAGUGACCACUUUCUGGUCAAUCCGCAGGGAGAGCUGAGGACGAGGCAGAGGCCCCACAGGAAGAUCUGAAGCCAACUACAUUCAGCAAGUUUUCUCAAGAACAAAGUGCCCCCUGAACUUUAAGAUUCCAGGAUGGUUUGAGAACAACUUCGAUUUUUCUGUUUUCGCAUUUAUGAAGGCUACUGUGCUCUCACCAGUGAAUUUAAUUACAAGGUUUUUAGAAACAGCUACAAAAAUUGCAACUCAGAUGCAUCAGUGAAUCAGUCCUAUUCCCUGUCUGCUAAAGGAUGUCUUUUCAUUACCAUCAUCUGCUGUACGGCUUUUCUGACAGUUCAUAUAAUUCAAGAUAAUUGAAGCCAAUUUUGCAAACAAAACGACAGGAACCACUACAUGAAACAGCACAUUAAAUCUCUGAUUCAUAACAA